rnacentral:rRNA from 1 species
CCUACGGGAGGCAGCAGUGGGGAAUCUUGCGCAAUGGGCGAAAGCCUGACGCAGCGACGCCGCGUGCGGGAAGAAGGCCUUCGGGUUGUAAACCGCUUUCAGCAGGGAAGAAGCGAAAGUGACGGUACCUGCAGAAGAAGGACCGGCCAACUACGUGCCAGCAGCCGCGGUAAUACGUAGGGUCCGAGCGUUGUCCGGAAUUAUUGGGCGUAAAGAGCUCGUAGGCGGUCCCUUAAGUUAGAUGUGAAAUCUCAGGGCUCAACCCUGAAAUUGCAUCUGAUACUGGGGGACUUGAGGCAGGUAGGGGAAGGUGGAAUUCCUGGUGUAGCGGUGAAAUGCGCAGAUAUCAGGAGGAACACCAAUGGCGAAGGCAGCCUUCUGGGCCUGUACUGACGCUGAGGAGCGAAAGCGUGGGGAGCGAACAGGAUUAGAUACCCUAG